UCAUGAUAAGUGAUGGUUGGAGGGAAUUUUGCGCACGGAGGAUCCACUGAUCACAGCAGGUAUAAAUAUAUAAAAUCCUAUGUAAUUAUAGGAAAAUAACAUGUAUUUCAUACUUUUGACUAUCAAACAGAUUUACUAACCUCAGGAAAUCAUUGUAAUGUCACAUUGUGCCUGUGGAGGGAGCGUGAGGGAGAGCGGGGCAGGCCUGCUAGCCAAAAUAAUCCACCUCAGGUUUCAUACAAGUGUUUCUCUCUGAAAACAAUUCAGAUAAAUGAGAGGAGGAUGAAUGAAAAUCAAUCUGCUUUUAAUAUAAGAAGCAACUCUUCUGAUAUAAAAAAGCUGAGUGACAGAGAAAUGCUGCCCAGCAACAUUCAGAGCAAAGCAAAACAGCACAACCAUCACGUCUGCUUCCUGAUCCGCUCAGUUAAGACCAGAAGAUUUAAUUUUAUGAGCGCACUAUAAAAGUGUAGAAAGAUGAACGAUACAAACAAACAAAAAGUCAAAGGUGAAGGUUGUGCUCAACGAGACUCCCGUUCCCACAACGCCAAUCAAAAUAUGUUACACUAAUAAAAAGAACUGGAACUUUCAGCUCUAACUGCAACUAGCUGAAGUGAUUCAGGUCAAACAUGAUUUGAUUUCAUUUCCACUGCUCAACUCUGACAAAAUGCUGGAAAAUUCACAUGCAUGAUGGAAAAACUGCAAAAUAUCGACAAUUUGCUGAAACUAAACUUCACACGACCUGGAUAAACUACUGGAUGAAAACUAAAACACAUUCUGACUGAUGAGCUGAUGGUUUGUGUUUAAAACUCGCUGAACUUUCUGGACGAAUCUGUGCAGAAAAUUUAAAAAAUCAAAGUCUAUAGGAAACAUUAGGAGAACCUUGUGGGAACGUUGGCUUGAGCAGCUCAGAAGCAACAACAACAUUCCUGCAGAGGCGAAGCUCCUGACAGACAAACCCUGUGGAAAAACACUCCACGCCCACACAAAGCUCAUAUAAUUAUAAAGUCUGACAGCAGUGCGGGGUGGCCCCGCCCCUCUCCGCGGCGUGCCUGCGGGGCACGGGCCUGUCCUGAUCUGCUCACACCUCAUUAGCAGGCGGCUAAUCAGCUGGCCCGGGUUAAAAGUGGGUUUAAUUAAAUCUGCGGCUCGCCUGAAGAGUCUGAGGUGUCUGGGUCCGCCCAGCGGCGAACACACAAACACACCUGUCUGGACGGGCCACUCCGACAGGUGGCGGGAGGGGGUUCGUCCUGCGCACACCUCCACCUUUACACAGUUUCAACACAACAACAUGGUCUUGCUGUCAUAUCAGCAGCAGGAUGGAUGCCCCAACUUCCUGUCAACGCCCUGAUUAAAGCUUCAAAUCUUCAGCGUGAAACUAAAAGAAAACACGCUGAUAAUUUUCAAAAAUAAACACAUAAUGUAUAGAUUUUUACACUCUGACACUGCUGGAGGCCCCGUGAUUGUCAAUACUGUCAAAUAAACAAGUGGUUUUAUUUUUACUUAAAGAUGUCCUAUUAACAGGUUUAAGUCCAUCUGUUCAGAGUCUAAACUUGAGAUUUUCUGAAGUGGCGUGAAAUGAGUUUAGAGGUUUAUUUUCUCAUUUAACACCAAUCAGCUGUGACGUGUAUUAAAGAUGUGCACACAGCCACUGUUUCCAUUUCCAGUGAAAUUAGCAUUUUGUUCUGCUUCGUCAGGGCCGAGCGCUGCCGGCUUCAGCCGUUAAAGGCUUCGGGCAGCCACUGAUAUGGCAGGAGACCAAGGUUUAACAUGCACCGCCUCUGCAGGAAAGACUCCGCGAUUCAGACCCAAAAAUUAAAAGUGUGCAACUCAAACAUGUUAAUAAAACCACCCAGUAAAGGAUAAUUGUGUCUGUGUGUGUGUGUCUGUAACCCUAACCCUCCCUCUGUUUUCACUCAGAGUCAGAUAUAAAAGUGUUUUUCCAUUUCUGAUCUUAAACAACACGAGUCAUGAAAAAACAAAACAAACACACACACACACACACACACACACACACACAAACAGAACUGUGCUU
rnacentral:lncRNA from 1 species